ensembl:lincRNA
CUUGUAAUAUGCAUCCACGCGUAACCAUCUGCAUCUUCACAACACAUCAAUUGCUUGUAUAUUCACAGGUGGUGAUUGACUGAUUCGUGCAUGUCCAUGCAAUUUGGCGCAUUCAGCUGCGUGCUUGCGGAUGUGGAUGUAUUUCACAGAAGCAGCAGCAGCCUGCCUUCCCUUCCCUGGAUUCCAUCUGCUGUGCGAAACAAGAUCUGCAGUCAUUCCCAGGUGCUGAUCAGAAACCCACAAAUAUCUGCCAGGCUGGCAACAGACCCUAAAGAGAGGAAUAAAGGUAGCUUGGACCAGGGUGAAGAUGUGUGAUGGAGAAGAUCAUAAAGUCUCUCUAGAGCUGGGCUCAGCUCAAGGCCAAAUAAGGAGGACUUAAGAAGGGCCACGGAAAAAUUGAAUGAAUGGGGAAAAAAGCAAAGCUGAAUUGCUACUGGAGUUAAAAGGAGCUACUGACGGUGGAAAGAAGUCAGGCCCGCUGGUGUUUUACCAUAACAAAUAUCUGAAGUAAUCUCCAUACCUUCAGAUCUCCUUGUGGCUGCAAUAGCUCUGCAUAUGGAACUAGCCAUCUACCAAAUUAUUUCCUUUCUCAACAAACAUCACUCACAGCCCUAUUAUGACUGGAAGUCUUUUUAAUAAAACUGCCUGUGAAGAUUGCAAAAUAAACCUAUGGAGCAGCGUCCUCACUACUUCCAUCUGUUCUUCCACAAAUUUCUCUCCCUUUUCCACAGAGCAGGUUUGUAUUUCCAAGAAGGUGUAUCUUCAGGAGUUCUAAUAAAGAACAGCUGAAUGCAGCAAUCUUUGCCGUCAAUACAGCCAACCUUCAAGGAAUCACUUUUCACAAAUGAUCUGACGUGGAGGUACUCCUUUCUUAGAAUGUAUCUUUCUAGUCAGGGCAUUAGGUAUUUUUUAAUUCAAGUUAGAAAUCAGGACUCAUCUUACACUUUCUACUUGAGUCUUUCCUGCAGGUUGUAUCCUCUAUAUUAAGAGUACGCGUAGCUUAUCUGUCUUUUAGGCAAAUAGCCAUCUUGUUCCCACCCAAGGUGAGAGUCCAUUUUAGUUCAGGAAAAAAUAACUUUAAAUUGAUCGAGAGGGAGAUUGUUGUGAGAAGAGAGGCAGAAUUCCUUAGCUAGAGGAGAGAUUCACAAUCCUAUGCAUUGAGUAGACACAGAAGGCCUGGUCCUGGCUAAACGGAAUGCUGGGAGCUCAUGCCAGGGAGGGGUGGUGAGCAGAGGGACUGGGUUGGAAUCCAGGUGGCUGAAUUCAUGGGAGCGUGGCAAAAUCAGGUCCUGUUCCACUCAGGCUCAAUUUCUAAAACCUACAUGACUCCUAGGGGGUCUUCUCAAUGUACGGAUUCUGAUUCAACAGAUCUGGGAUAGGUCCUGAUCUUCUGCACUUUUCACAAGCUCCCAGAUGAUGUCCGUGUUGCUAGUCCACAGACCACACUUUGAAUAGCAAGGGCAUAAGGAAUCUAACUCUAGAGUUCAAAUGUAUGUGGGGUGAAGGUUUUGAGUACAAUGUAUGCUAUGUAUAUUCAUUUGGAGUCUAAAUCAUUCAUUGGUGCUCAUGGGGGAUGACGAUGUACGGGAUUUCUAGAGUCCAGACUCAGUAAAGGAGCUACAAAGACUUGGGAAAAAGGUCAAAUUCCCUAGUGGACAUGCUGGGGUCAGCUGAGAGAAACUUGAUAGAGGACAUUGGCUCCACCUACCCAGGAAUAAGAGUGGGUUAGCCAGCCCUGAGUCAGGGGAAGAGGAGCACCAGAGAACUAAGCCUCAUACAGUGGAGGGGCUGAGAGCAUGGACUCAGCUGCCAGGGAAACUGGACAGGAAUCUUGGCUCCAUAAUUCCGAGCCUCUGUUUUUUCUUCUGUAAAAACUUACAUUAUGGGCUUGUUGAAAGCACUAAAUAAGAUAGUCCAUGUGUUCUGGGUUCUGGUCCCUGAAAAACAGACUCUGAGAUGAUGAUCUUUAUGGAAGUGGUUUAUUACACAGUGCCCCCUCGCAAAAUCCACAGGGGAGAAGGGAAGUGGGACAUAGAAAGGGAAGGAAGCCAAGCAAGGGUGCAAUAUGAAGCAAAGUUCUGUGAGUGUAACUUUAGCUCAGUCAUGCAAGGAAACACUGGAGAGUAAAUCACAAAACUAGGGUUAUCCCAAACUAGAAGCAGGGUAGCUGGACUAUUUAUACCCUCACACGCAUCAGUCAUUAAGGGAUACUCCCUGAGGGAUGUAAAUUCCUAAGCUCUUGCAGCUGUCUGCAUACACAAGAAAAGCUGAAGUUCUGGAUCUUGAGGGAAGUCCUCGGACAGAGUUGGGGACUGACUGUCCUGAAAAGAAGCACAUCUGAAACUGUAUGCACGACUGGUAACCGGCAAAGGAUUGAGGGCAUGUGAGAGGUGCUCUGAGAGUAUCUGCUAAAUUAUGGAAAGAGUUUUAGCAUGAUCUGUGCCAAUCCUAACCCACUGGUAAAAUCUCCCUUUAUUAUAUACAGUGUAUACAUAAACAUUAUCUAUGAAGACAAAAAAGGACAAGAAGAGCAGGUAUCUAUCACAUGGCACACUGGACAGUGGGACUAGAAGAAGCAGAUUAUUCUGGGGUCGACUUUGCAAAUGCAACACAUUAUUAGGGAAACUGGGAUCCAGUUACUGAGUGGCCUAAAUGACCAGAAAUCCCAAAGAUCCACCUAUUACUGUUGACAGAGAAGAAAAGUCAUGAAAGUUCCUUUCAGUCCUGUGAUUGCUGGGCACUGAUUCUGCACUGAAGAUGUGUUUCUAGAUGUGAGUGGCCAUACUUUAUUGCUUGUGGCUUAUGGAAUGGAUAACCUCCGUGGGCUCCAUUUCCUAAUCUUUAAGGUAAGAGGUCCUCUAGUUCUAAAAUUUUACAAAUUGACAAACCACUAACUACAAGAUGAACACUCCAUAAAUACUAAGCCACAUUCUCCACAGUCACACAUCCCCAAAGUGAGGUAAAUUUCUUUUUCCAUAAAAAGGUGCCAGAGAUAGUGUAUCUUUGUUUCCAGCAUCUGUCCUGUGCAGGUGUACACGGUUCUCACCCAACUGGCUUCUAGUAAUCCUUGUAGUUGCCUCUUGUAUCCAUGUGUCAUACUCCUCCUGUGACUGAUUAGUUAAUCUGUCUUUCUCUGUCUCACAUACUCUAUAAAUACAC